UACGUAGGGUGCGAGCGUUGUCCGGAAUUAUUGGGCGUAAAGAGCUUGUAGGCGGUCUGUCGCGUCUGCUGUGAAAAUCCGGGGCUCAACCCCGGACUUGCAGUGGGUACGGGCAGAUUAGAGUGUGGUAGGGGAGACUGGAAUUCCUGGUGUAGCGGUGAAAUGCGCAGAUAUCAGGAAGAACACCCGUGGCGAAGGCGGCUCUCUGGUACGUGACUGACGCUGAGACGCGAAAGCGUGGGGAGCGAACAGG
rnacentral:rRNA from 1 species